UGGGGAAUAUUGGACAAUGGGGGCAACCCUGAUCCAGCAAUGCCGCGUGUGUGAAGAAGGUCUUCGGAUUGUAAAGCACUUUCGACGGGGACGAUGAUGACGGUACCCGUAGAAGAAGCCCCGGCUAACUUCGUGCCAGCAGCCGCGGUAAUACGAAGGGGGCUAGCGUUGCUCGGAAUGACUGGGCGUAAAGGGCGUGUAGGCGGUUUACACAGUCAGAUGUGAAAUCCCCGGGCUUAACCUGGGAGCUGCAUUUGAUACGUGUAGACUAGAGUGUGAGAGAGGGUUGUGGAA
rnacentral:rRNA from 1 species